GAUUGAUGUUGAAUCACCGGAACGAAACGAGUCAUAUGGUCAAAGAAAUGACGUAAACAUCGCAAGUUAACUCGAAAAUCUUGAUCGCACAGUGUACACAGUAACUUUAUACUGUUUAUAAGGUCUCGGAGACGAGAAAAUGUUUCACUCUACAUUGAGGUCACCGACACUUGAGCACAGACAUACGAGAACAGCCAAAGUUUACUGACGUAAUCCGGGGUAUUUCGAGGUCGUUGAAAUGUUUUGAAACGUUAUGACGUACUGUGGCCUGCGCACACCGCACCGCGCCAGCAAACUAAAACUAAACGAACUGCAUCACAUUCACAGCACGUGCUCUUGUAAUAACUAACCUUAAUCUAAAUGUAAUAACGAAUACUAAUCAGACAUUCAAUAUUUAAA